CAGGGCGUGGCUCAGCCUGUGAAGAGCGCCGGUCUGGGGGACCGGAGACCGCGGGUUCGAAUCCCGCCGCCCUGACCA
rnacentral:tRNA from 1 species